GACGAACGCUGGCGGCGUGCCUAAUACAUGCAAGUCGAACGAAGUUGUUUUAACUGGCGCUUGCACCGACUUAAACAACUGAGUGGCGAACGGGUGAGUAACACGUGGUAACCUGCCCCAAAGUGGGGGAUAACAUUUGGAAACAGAUGCUAAUACCGCAUAACCACAGAAACCUCAUGGUUUCUGUGUCAAAGAUGGUUCCGGCUAUCACUUUGGGAUGGACCCGCGGCGUAUUAGCUUAG
rnacentral:rRNA from 1 species